rnacentral:rRNA from 1 species
GUGUGUUUGCAUGCUAGGCAAUGUGGUGUUUAAGCUUGUACCUGGGAUCGUGUGCCUACCCGAAGUCUAAAUCCGAUUGUGGCUUUGGAUUCAUUCCAUAGCGGGUGAAAGUCCCGUGCGGGUAGGACUAUUGCAAUCUACACGAUCCUCAUAUGUGCAUGCUUUCGAGUCGGAUUGCUUGAGAAUGCAGUCCAAAGUGGGUGGUAAACUCCAUCCAAGGCUAAAUACUGGCACGAGUCCGAUAGUAGACAAGUACCGUGAGGGAAAGUUGAAAAGUACUCUGAAGAGAGAGUAAAUAGUACGUGAAGCCGAUUGCAGGGAAGCUGGUGGAGUCAAGCUUCGUGCUUGAGGGAUUGAUGCUGACAGCAGGUGUGUCAUUUGUAUGCGAGUUUGGUCAACUUGGAAUAAGUUGGGCGUGUUCUGAAUGCGCUUCAAGUCAUUCUGGGUAGACUGUUUGUGGCCAUGCUCGCUUUACUACUCUCAGUAUUGUAUUCCUCGCUGCACAGGCCACAAUCAAAUAAAAAGGCAUGAGGUAUGAAGGGUCUAACUGUGCUUCGGCGGGUGCAAGCUCUCCGUGUGCAGGAUGGCAGGUGCUGUCUUCAGGCCAUCGUGUCUGUUGGUAGUUGUUGUGGUUUCGACCGGCUGGUCUUCAUACUG